CCGAACCCGCAUCUGUUGCAAUAGAUUGGGAUGACUUGUGGUUAGGGGUGAAAGGCCAAUCAAACCAAGUAAUAGCUGGUUCUCCGCGAAAUCUAUUUAGGUAGAGCGUCAUUGGAUUACCAUCGGGGGUAGAGCACUGGAUAGACUAGGGGGGAGCAAUCUUUACCAAAUCUAACUAAACUCCGAAUACCGAUGAGUACACAAUGGCAGACAGACUAUGGGUGCUAAGGUCCAUAGUCGAAAGGGAAACAGCCCUAACCGCCAUCUAAGGUCCCCAAGUCACUAUUAAGUGGGAAAGGAUGUGGGAAGGCCAAGACAGCUAGGAGGUUGGCUUAGA
rnacentral:rRNA from 1 species